rnacentral:rRNA from 1 species
UACGGGGGGAGCAAGCGUUGUUCGGAUUUACUGGGCGUAAAGGGCGCGUAGGCGGCCAGCACAAGUCAGUUGUGAAAUCUCCGAGCUUAACUCGGAAAGGUCAACUGAUACUGUGCGGCUAGAGUGCGGAAGGGGCAACUGGAAUUCUUGGUGUAGCGGUGAAAUGCGUAGAUAUCAGGAGGAACACCGAUGGCGAAGGCAGGUCUCUGGGCUGACACUGACGCUCAUGCACGAAAGCGUGGGGAGCAAACAGG